rnacentral:rRNA from 1 species
UACGAAGGGGGCUAGCGUUGCUCGGAAUCACUGGGCGUAAAGCGCACGUAGGCGGAUUUUUAAGUCAGGGGUGAAAUCCUGGAGCUCAACUCCAGAACUGCCUUUGAUACUGGGAAUCUCGAGUCCGGAAGAGGUGAGAGGAACUGCGAGUGUAGAGGUGAAAUUCGUAGAUAUUCGCAAGAACACCAGUGGCGAAGGCGGCUCACUGGUCCGGUACUGACGCUGAGGUGCGAAAGCGUGGGGAGCAAACAGG